rnacentral:lncRNA from 1 species
AAGAAACAUGACCCAACCAUAUUCUGGCUUCAAGAAAACCAAUUCACCCUUAAAAACACACAUAGUCUGAAAAUGAAGGGAUGAAAAAAAUAGUCCAUGCUACUGGAAACCAAAAAAGAGCAGGAGCAGCUAUACAUUUAUUGAAUAAAAUAGACUACAAAACUAAUAUUCCAGAAAGAGACAAAUAAGGUUAGAAAAUGGUGAUAAAGGAGUCAAUUCAUUAGGAGGUUAUAUUACAAAUAUUUAUGCACCCAACAUCAGAGCUUCCAAGUACAUAAAGCAAAGAAUAAUAGAUCUAAAGGGAGAGAUAGAGUGUAAUGCAAUAAUAUUGGGGGAUUUUAAUACCUCACUCUCAAUAAUGGACAGAUCAUUCAGACAGAAAAUGAACAAGGAAACAGUGCAUUUAAACUACACAAUAUAUCUAAUAGGCUUAACUGACAUUUACAGAACAUUUCACCCAAUUGCUGCAGAAUACACAUUCUUUUCAUCACCACAUGGAACAUUUUCUAGAAUAGACCAUAUAUCAGGCCAUAAAACAAGACUAAGCAAAUUCAAAAAAUAGAAAUUAUAUCUAGUGCCUUUUCUCACCAAAAUGGAAUAAAACUAGAAAUCAGUUACAAGAAGAACCUUGAUAAAUAAGCUAAUAUAUGGAAAUUAAACAACAUGCUCCUGAAUGACUAAAGGGUGAAUAAAAAAAUUAAGAAGACAACUUCUUAAAAUAGAUUAGAUUGAAAAAAGAAAUGCAACAUACCAAAACCAUGUGUUACAGCAAAAGCAGUGCAGUAAGAAGUUUAUAGCAAUAAACAACUAUAUCAAAUAAGUAGAAAGACUUCAAAUAAAAAACUUAAUAAUGUACCUCAACCAUUAGAAAUACAAAAACAAAAAAAAUCCAAAAUUAGCAGAAGGAAAGAUAAUAAAUAUCUGAGCAGAAAUAAGUGAAAUUGCGACUGAAAUCAAUACAGAAGCUUAAUGAAACAAAAAGUUGGUUUUUUGAAAAGGUAAACAAAAUUGACAAAACUUUGAACAAAGAGAAAAGAACCAAAUAAAUAAAAUUAGAAAUGAAAAAGGAUGCAUACCUGAGACCUCAAAAAUAUGAAGAGUUUUCAGAGACUGUUCUGAAUAACUAUAUACCAACAAAUUGGAUAACCUAGAAGAAAUAAGUUCCUGGAAACAUACAACCUACAUAGAUUGAACCCUGAAGAAACUGAAAACCUCAACAAAUUAAUAACGAGUAACAAGAUCUAAACUGUAGUAAAAAAAAAAAAAAAAAAAAAAAAAAGCUUCCCAUAAAAGUAAAUCUCAGGACCUGAUGGCUUCACUGCUGAAUUUAACCCAUCAUUUAAAGAACUAAUACCAAUCCUACUCAACUCAACAAUAAAUUAAAGAGAAGAGAAUAUUUCCAAACUCAUUCUAUGAGGCCAUUACCACGAUACCAAAACCAGACAAGAAUACAACAAAAAAGAAAACUACAGGCCAAUAACAUUGAUGAACACAGAUGCAAAUUCCUCAACAAAAUACUAGCAAACCAAAUUCAACAACACAUUAAAAAGACAAUUCACCAUGGUCAAGUGAGAUUUAGUCCAGGAAUACAAGAAUAGUUAAACAUACACCAAUCUGUAAAUGUGACAUUCCACAUUAAGAGAAUUAAGAACAAAAAUCAUAUUAUUAUUUCAAUAGGUAGACAAAACCCAGUUGAUAUAACAUUGCUUUAUUAAAAACCCUAAUCAAAACGGUUAUAGAAGAAACAUAUCUCAAAAUAAUAAAGGCCAUACAUGACAAACCCAGAGUUAGUAUUCUGAGCAGGGAAAAAUUAAAGUCCCUUCUUCUAAGGACUGGAACAAGACAGGAUGCCCACUUUCCCCAUUUUUAUUUCAUGUAACACAGAAAGUCCUGGUUAGAAUGAUUAGGCAAGAGAAAGAAAUAACAGUCAUCUAAAUUGGAAAAGAAGAAACCAAAUUAGUCUUGUUUGCAGAUGACAUAGUCUUAAACCUAGAAAAACAUGAAGACUAUCACACAUUUUCUAGAAUUGAGAAAUGAGUUUACUAACGUUGCAGGAUACAAAAUCAACAUACAAAAAUCAGUAACAUUUAUAUACAUCAACAAUAAAUAAUCUGAAAAGGAAACCAGUAAAUCAAUCCCUUUAGCAACAAAAAUAUAAAGUAUCUAGGAAUCCUUCUAAUUAAAGGAGUGAAACAUCUCUACAAGAAAAACUAUAAAAUUCUAAUGAAAGAAAUAGAAGGGAACACAAAAAAGUUGGAAAGAUAGUCCAUGCUCAAGGGUUAGAAAAAUUAAUGUUCAAAUGACAAUAUCAACAAAAGCAAUUUACAGAUUUCAUGCAACCCCAAUCAAAAUUUACUACCAAGCCAUCAUAACCAAAAAGAGACAUAUAGACCAAUGGAACAGAAAAUAAAACCCAGAUAUAAAUUCACACAUCUACAGGUAACUCAUUUUCAACGAAGAUACCAAGAGCACACGAUGGAGAAAGGAUAGUCUUCUUAAUAAAUGGUAGCAGGAAAACUGGAUAACUGUCUACUGAAAAAUAAAACUAAAUCCUUAUCUCUCACCAUACACGAAAAUCAAAUAAAAAUGGAUUAAGGAUUUAAAUCUAAGACCUGAAACUAUGAAACUGCUAGAGAAAAAAAAAACACCUGGGAAACAUUCCAGGACACUGGUCUUGGCAAAGACUUUUUGAGUAAGACCUCAAAAGCACAGGCAACCAAAGCAAAAAUAGGCAAAUCCGACUAAAUCAAGCUAAAAAUGCUUCUGUACAGCAAAGGAAACAACCGAUAAAAUAAAGAGACAAUUCCCAGAAAGGGAGAAAAUAUUUGAAAUCUAUCCAUCUGACAAGAUUAAUAACCAUAAUAUAUAAUAAGCUCAAACAAUUCAAUAGCAAAAUAAGAAGAAGAAUCCAAAAUGGGCAAAAUAAUUGAACAGACAUUUCUCAAAAAAGACAUAAAAAUGGCCAACAGGUAUAUUACGAAUUGCUCAACAUCACUAAUCAUCAAAUAAAUGCAAAUCAAACCACAAUGAGAUAUUAUCUUAUACAAGUUAAAAUGGCUUGUCUAAAAAUUACAGACAGUAACAGAUGCUGGCAAAGAUGUGGAGAAUGAGGAACCCUUGUACACUGUUGGUGGGGAUGUAAAUUAUAUAUUUAAAAUACAGUCACUGUGGGGAACAGUAUGGAGGUUCCUCAAAAACUAAAAAUAGAACUAUCAUAUGAUCCAGCCAUUCUACUACUGGGUAUAUAUAUCCAAAAGAAAGGAAAUCAGUAUAUGAAAGAGAUAUAUGCACUGCAUAGUAGCAAAAAUAUGGUAUCAAAGUAAGUGUGCAUCAAUGAAUGAAUGGAUAAAGAAAAUAUGACAUACAUACACACAAUGGAAUAUUAUUCAACCAUAAAAAAGCAUGAAAUCCUGUCUGCCACAACUUGGAUGGAACUGAAGUCCAUUAUAGUAAAUGAAAUAAACCAAGCACAGACAGGUAAGUAUUGCAUGUUCUCACUCACAUCUGGCAGCUAAAAAUGUGGAUGUCAUGAAGAUAGAGAGUAGAAUGGUGAUUACCGCAGGCUGGGAAUGGUAGGGGGAAGGGAUAUCGAAGGGAGGAAAAAGACACAAAAUAAAUCACAAUGUGAGGACAGCCUCUCUUUAUUGAAUUAGAAAUAAAUAUUAAUUUGAAUAUAAUAGUUUAAGAUGAACACACUACACACAUUUCCUCUUUUGGUUUUUAGAUGUUUUUCCCUCUGAUCCAUUAUUCUUGUACUUUAGUGGAGUGUUUAGGACAAGAUUCUUAUUGGGGUUAUUGGGAUAAUUUUGAUGGUACUUGUUAUUUGAUUCUUAAAUAGGUGAUUACAUAGCUUAUCUAAAAUUUAGAGAUUUUUGAGUAAUGCUAUUUCUUUGAAAGCACAAUUACUUAAUUUUGGAUUGCUCAUUAUAAUGAAUUAAUUGUAAUCACAUUAAAAAGUACUGCUAUGAUAGACUCCUUAGGAAACAUGGAAGCAUCAUAUUAUCAACUUCAAAAACAACUGAAUCUAGAUUUUGUAAAAUCAUCUUGCAUGUAUUAAGUUUGCCUUCUGCAUAUUUUAAGGAGGGCUCUGAGUCUAACAAAUAGCGUAAAUGUUUAUUGGUUACUGUUUGAAAAUUUUUCAAGAGACUCUAGAAUGAUACAACAUACGAAUAUAGUCUAUUUCACUAAGGAUAUUAAGAUCAAACAGAAAAUUCAAUAUGACAGUGAAGCAUAUGAGUUUAGUGUAUAGACUUAGUGGGUCUGAAACUUAACAGUGCCACGUACUUUAUUUGAGACCCUGAACAAGUUACUUAAAUUUACUGUGCCUCAAUUUCUACAGAUAUAUAUAUAUAUUAUACUAUAUAAUAUAUAUUAGGAUUACAUAUAUCCUACAGUCAGACAUCUUUUCUAUGCUCUUAUAGUAUCUUGCAAUUUAUUAUAAUAACAAGAAAAAAUAUUUUUGUUCAUUAUAUAUAUUUACCUAUACUUUAUUGCUCUAUGAUUGCAGCAGUCAUCCUUUUAUGUUCAUAGCUGUACUUCUUUGCCAAAUACAUGGCUAUUACUUAGUGAGUAUUAAGUAGUAUCUUCCCAUAAUUAAAAUUAUGUAUAAAUGUAUAUUUGAAUGCAAAUUAAACUCUUUUAUUAAACUAAAUCCUUCCUAGACUGGUGGUCUCUAACACCACAAAAAUGUAGUUCCCAGAUAAAUAACCUAGGCAACUGCCGAGUCAACUGGGCUAGUCAACUAAAUACCUAGACCACCUAAACACCCUGGUCAACUGGAAAUGCAUAUAUUUCCAAAAGUAGAUUAGAAAAAAAUGAGAAUAAUUAAUAAUGAACUGAACAAUACUAGAGUUUGAUUUAGAGACAACAAUGUGGAGAAGGAAAAGAUUUUCACUACCUUGUUCUUGCUAAAUAUCUCUCACUUUGGAACUGUGAUAACUUGGACAAUCUCUCUGAUUUGUAGUCCCAAUCACAGUCUUAGGCUAGCUUUAUUGCUACAAUUAAGAUAAUAUGCAUAAAUAUGAUACAUGAGCUAUAAAAUGCAUCUCAUUGCCAACAUUCUCAUCUCAGUUUUAAGCACAGGGCACAGAAACCUAAAGUGAAAACUCCACACUAUAUAUCAUAUCAAAACAUAACAGAGGCAAGUAUUACAAAAUUAAAUUAAUAUUUUAUACUAUUGUAUAAUAUAGAAAUAGCUACAUAUGUAUUAUAUACUACCAGGAUUUUCACUUGUGAAUGAUAUAUUUACCUCAUCAUUAUAAUAAUGCUUAACCAAGCAACAGAUGUUCAUUUUGAGGAAGCUAUUAUUGUAACAUAGAUUGUUAAGGUUAGCAUAGUGACAAAACCACAAACCGCUUACAGCCACGAGUCCUUCUUCUCCCAGUAGCACUAUAGUUUAACUUUAUCUUUCUUUGACCUAAAUUCAAUAAAAGGGGGAAAAAGAAUCCCUGUGUCUUUAAAAUACUGUUAAACCACCACAGUUCAGUAAUUUAUUUGGCUUUAGCCUUUGCAAGCUAACUGUCUGUAGUUGCAACUUUACAGAUUUUAUGUAUUCAGUUUGAAAAAAAAAAAAAGGCUUUUUUUUCCCCCAAAAGAAGCUAGCUGUUAACAGAAAGAAGAGAAAAACAAGAUUUAUCUUAUCCAGCUCCAUCCAAAACAAGGUGCUAUGCUUUCUGUGACUUCAAUUUGACAAGUAAAGCCCUGGGCAGGCAUGUAGUAUCACUGCUUGUCACUAUAAGGCAACAGACUGGAAAAGACAUGAGAUAGUGUAGAAAUAAGCAAGUGUAGCAGGUAACUAAUUAAGAUUAGGAGUGCACGCUGGAAGAUUUUCUAAAUCCAAGACACCCAAUCCUUCCAUAUCUACUGUAAUACAAAACAUAUACAGCUGGCAUGCAACAAGCUCAUCUUGGAAAAUGUAUGCUUUUUGCUUUGUAAAAUUUAAAGUAAAAAUGGUAGAUGAAAUGAAAAUCUGCAAGUGAGGCAAAAUCUGUGUUGACUGCCUUUGUUGUAGAAGUUUGUCUCAUUCUGAAAUAAAUCUUGAUUUAUUCCAAAUUAGGAGAUUUAAGUAUUUCAAUUUCCAAUUUAAAAAUAAUUCCUUCUCUUUGUCUCUGGCAGUAUAUAAUAUGUAUGUGUAUAAACAUAUAUUCACCUUAAAAUUUAAUAUGUGAAUACCAAAAUAUUACAUAGAAUUAUGUGUAGUCUUGUUUCGCCACUGUUCAUUUUUUCUCAUAUUUAACUCUCAUGAAAAUUUCCCUCAUUUUUUUGAGUGUUGUUUCUAUCAUUUUAUUUCAGUCAUUUCAUUCUUUAUUUUCUUCUAUUUUUCCUUUGCUCUACAGUCAUUUGGGGCAUUGUUUUCUGUAUCAAGAUCUUUUUACACAGACUAUAUUGCAUGGGAAGGCGGCAUGCAAGAGUAAUGAUAUGCAAGGUGAUUUUUAAAAUAAAAUAUGACAACUGUUGAAAAAGCAUGUUUUAUCUAUUUCUCAUUGUAUUUUCUCUUUUUUGAUACUGUAUAGAAUCAUUAGGAUAAACCAGUUGGCAAUAUACUCAGAAUGAAGAAAACAGUGCAAUCCCUGUCUUCCAGGAAAUUAUAACAGGGUGCAGAAAAAGAGGAGCCAGAGAUACAGGAAAGAAGGCCAGAGAUACAGGAAUGAAGACGGAACCAAAAUUGGAGUUUUGCUGCCACAAACAAAGGAAUACCAGGAGGCACUAGAUGCUGGAAGAGAAAAGAAACCAUUGUCACCCUGGAGUGUGAGCCUGCUCAUACCUUAAUUUUAGACAUCUGGUAUCUAGAGCUAUGAGAAGGAAUUUCUGUUAUUUUAAGCCAUUGACUUUGAGGCCAUUUCUUGUGGCAGCUAUAGGAAACUAACACACCAGGUUAGAAUCAACGUGGUAGUUUCUCAGUAUCCACAGGUGGUUGGUUCUAGGACCCCCGCCAAUACCAAAAUCUGAGGAUGCUCAAAACUCUAUUUAUAUAAUAUGGCAUAGUAUUUGCAUAUAACCUACACACAUCUUCUCAUAUGCUUUAAAUCACCUCUAGAUUAUCUACAAUAUGUAAUACUAUCUAAAUUGUUGUUAUACCAUAUUGUUUUUAUUCAUAUUAUUUUUUAUAGUUGUACUGUUAUUUCUUUUGUUUUGGAAUAUUUUUAUACACGGUUGAAUGUGCAGAUACAAAGG